rnacentral:rRNA from 1 species
GACGAACGCUGGCGGCGUGCUUAACACAUGCAAGUCGAACGAAGAGCGAUGGAAGCUUGCUUCUAUCAAUCUUAGUGGCGAACGGGUGAGUAACGCGUAAUCAACCUGCCCUUCAGAGGGGGACAACAGUUGGAAACGACUGCUAAUACCGCAUACGAUCUAAUCUCGGCAUCGAGGAUAGAUGAAAGGUGGCCUCUACAUGUAAGCUAUCACUGAAGGAGGGGAUUGCGUCUGCUUAGCUAGUUGGAGGGGUAACGGCCCACCAAGGCGAUGAUCAGUAGCCGGUCUGAGAGGAUGAACGGCCACAUUGGGACUGAGACGCGGCCCAGACUCCUACGGGAGGCAGCAGUGGGGAAUCUUCCGCAAUGGACGAAAGUCUGACGGAGCAACGCCGCGUGAGUGAUGACGGCCUUCGGGUUGUAAAGCUCUGUUAAUCGGGACGAAAGGCCUUCUUGCGAAUAGUGAGAAGGAUUGACGGUACCGGAAUAGAAAGCCACGGCUAACUACGUG